CUCGACGUAGGCAAACGGGCACUAACCAAUUAGCCAUCCUCUCCAAGGUCGAGGCCAUUUGUUUUUCGGAUAAGGUGGGAGAGGGAAAGCAGCACAACUUUCGUGUCGGAUUAUCCAUCGUACCAAUAAGGUCACGAUCAUACACGAAGGGAGUCGGGAAAUGACGUAUUUCCGGUUGUGUCCGAGCCCACCUUCCUUGAUCUGAGGAUUCACGGGCUCAAUCAUUUCGUCCGUGAUCAUCCAAUAAGUUGGAAGUGUCCGCGUUGGUUUAGUAAUGUUUCGUUGUGCAUAAUAGGCCAAGAUUAAGUGUGCGUUGCAAGAUUGUGUGCGGUAGUAGGAAACAAUUAUAAAGAGAAAGCCAGAUUGGCGUGUAUUUUCCCACCCGCAGCAAUCACAUCGUACCCCAGCGCGACAUUUCUCCCCGACGGACGAAAUAUUCCUGGCGAUCGUCACCUGCUAGAAGCGGACCGAUCCGUCGCCAUAUCGGUCCGAGGGAAGGCCAGGGGACCUCCACGUGGACGAGAUCCACCAGCCGGUCCGUAAAACCGCCGGCUAGCAACCGCCAUCGCGAUCACGUCUCGUCAGCUUCAUUAAGAAGCGUCAUCGCCGGCGUCAACAAGCCGGGAGCGUCGACCCCACCGGCAGGUCAUCGACUGGGUCAGUAAGCCCAAACAAACCGGUGAGUCAUCAAACCCUUUUUUUGAUUGGAGUGCGGCGUCCGAGGAGGGCGCCGCGGAGGAAACGUUUUUUGUGCCAGUCUUAGACUGAAGAGCCAUCUAAUGUGCUAAUAGAAGCCGAAACAA